ensembl:lncRNA
UUUUCUUUUCAUCCAGAUUCCCGCUGCCAAGGGGAACCUAGAGACUUAAAGAAAUCUUGAUGGCCAGGUGAUUGGCAAAUUUUCCUGAGCCCUGGUUCUCUCUUUUCACUUUGUCUUUCCGCUUGACUCACGGAAAAAAAAAAAAAAAAAAAAGUUUGUCUCGAGGCUCAUUUUGAGAAGCCGCUCCUCUAAUGUUUCAAGGAAAAGAUACAGAGUAAACCAGCCCAAUACAAUUUUCUUCAAGAGUAAUGCUUAUUGAUUCCUGAGUUAGUUGUAAGAAGUUUAAGCCUGGACAGAGUGGGUAGCAGAGGGAGAAGACCACUUUUGAUUUUAGUCAACGGGAUGGAAAGCUUUGUCUCCCAUCACUCAUGACAGAAACUUGCUCCUGGCUUCUGCUUGCCUCUAAAGAAGAACAUUAGUGCCCACCCAAACAAGAGGAACAUUUCUGAAUGGUAAAGACUCUCCCUGCAAUUCAGGAGACCCAGGUUCAGUCCCUGGGUUGGGAAGAUCCUUUGGUGAAGGGAAUGGCAAUCCACUUCAGGAUUCUUGACUGGAAAAUUCCAUGGACAGAGGAGCCUCGUGGGCUAUAGUCUAUGGGAACACAAAGAGUCGAACACAACUGAACAACUAACACACAACACAAGGUAAUAUAUCCACAGAUUCUGGGGAUUAGGACACAGG